rnacentral:lncRNA from 1 species
UCCUGCCUUGCACAGGGUGCUGACCCCAGCAACGCCUCUCUUUGGAAAAAACAAACAUGCCUGGGACCAGUUCCAGCACUGUCACCAGCUGGAAGAGAGCUAUCAAAUCUGUGAGGACAUGGGAAUGCUGCAUGUGAAGAUUUGGGAUCCCCAAGCAUGAGCACCUGCAGCCCUGAUGUCUACAGCUCAGCCCAUCCUCAUCCUCUCUGCUCUUCUCACCAGGGGACAGUCAGGGACUCACAGAUUUGCUUCUGUAUCAAUGACAAGCCACAACACCUGUUCUCCAGAGACUGGGACCACCAAAAAGUCUGAUCUGUUUGGUCACACCCUCCCAACAGCUUGGACCCUGAUGAUCUCCCAGGUCUGGGUGUGUAAGAGCUCUGAUGGAAAUUCAUUAUGAUUUCCUGACCCUUCCCCUGCUGUGAAUUUAAAUUCCUCAAACCCUAAUGCAAGGAAUUGAAGCACAUAUUGAUUAAGGGCUUUUUAUGGAUGCCUGGCAGAGCAUAUUAAAAAUUAUUUAAAACUUGCAUUCCAGUAUUAAUGACUCUUGUCUCCAGCACUUUGCAGCAAUUCAGUCUUGACUUUUAAUUGAAAAUCUUUAGUUAAGACAAAUUCUUACAGCCAGAGAAGAUUAAGUGGUCCUCCUCCAGGUAUGUGCCAUGGAGGGACGUUCAACCUCAAGGUUCCCAAGUGGCUGUGAAAUUCUAAAAAGGAGUUUCUGUCCUUAGAGUGGGUGGGUGUGGGUUGUUCUCUGAGGAGCCAGGUCUUUGGGCUUCCUCUCUAGGUGCUGCAGAAUGGGUGUUUCACUGCCCCAGCACUCAAACCAAUGACAUGGGAAAGAUUAAUAACCUCCUUCAAAAGGGCAGUCACUGCAGCCACCUGCAGAGAAAUGUGGCACCUCAGGGCUGGUGGUGCUCUUACAUCCCAUUUCCAACAACACUGGUGAAUAUCCACGAGCCAAACAAAUCUGAGCCGAUUACUGCUGCCACCAGGUCAAACACCUCAUACCACCUCAGUCAUGUUUUCUGCUGCCUCUGCAUUUGAUCCCAGGGGACUUCUUCCCAGUCAUGAAGCUCGGGUCUGAAAGUUCACCUUAGCUUGAAAACACCCCCAGAGAGGAUAUGGAAUUUUGUAGAAGGGACAGCAAGAGAUGUCACCUUGGAACUGUCAGCACCUUGGUGGAGACAGCAUUUAAUUUAAUAUUUGUUGGCUCUAUGGUAGCUGACAAAGGAGCCAGGAGUCUGCAUUGUGGUUUGGUGUAGGAAACCAAGACCUUGCAUGU